CCUACGGGAGGCAGCAGUGGGGAAUUUUGGACAAUGGGCGCAAGCCUGAUCCAGCAAUGCCGCGUGAGUGAAGAAGGCCUUCGGGUUGUAAAGCUCUUUUGUCAGGGAAGAAACGGUAGUUCCUAAUACGGACUACUAAUGACGGUACCUGAAGAAUAAGCACCGGCUAACUACGUGCCAGCAGCCGCGGUAAUACGUAGGGUGCAAGCGUUAAUCGGAAUUACUGGGCGUAAAGCGUGCGCAGGCGGUUAUAUAAGUCAGAUGUGAAAUCCCCGGGCUCAACCUGGGAACUGCAUUUGAGACUGUAUGGCUAGAGUGUAUCAGAGGGGGGUAGAAUUCCACGUGUAGCAGUGAAAUGCGUAGAUAUGUGGAGGAAUACCGAUGGCGAAGGCAGCCCCCUGGGAUAACACUGACGCUCAUGCACGAAAGCGUGGGGAGCAAACAGGAUUAGAUACCCUGGUAGUCCACGCCCUAAACGAUGUCUACUAGUUGUCGGGACUUAAUUGUCUUGGUAACGCAGCUAACGCGUGAAGUAGACCGCCUGGGGAGUACGGUCGCGAAGAUUAAAACUCAAAUGAAUUGACGG
rnacentral:rRNA from 1 species